GUGCUCCCUUUGGCAGCAUGUAUACUAAAAUUGAAGCAACACAGAGAAGACUGCAUGGUCCUUGUGCAAGGUUGACAAGCAAAUUCACAAAGCAUUCCGUAUUAAA